UACGUAGGGUGCGAGCGUUAAUCGGAAUUACUGGGCGUAAAGCGCGCGUAGGUGGUUUGUUAAGUUGGAUGUGAAAGCCCCGGGCUCAACCUGGGAACUGCAUCCAAAACUGGCAAGCUAGAGUACGGUAGAGGGUGGUGGAAUUUCCUGUGUAGCGGUGAAAUGCGUAGAUAUAGGAGGGAACACCAGUGGCGAAGGCGACCACCUGGACUGAUACUGACACUGAGGUGCGAAAGCAUGGGGAGCGAACGGG
rnacentral:rRNA from 1 species